CUAAGUCUGUCAACAUGGCUGAAGGCUCGGUUUGCCCAUUGUAUCCCCCGCUAAACAAAGUUAAAUCGGAUGUGUGAAAAUACUAUGGAUUCCAAAGCAAAGGACUCAAGUAAAUUGGGUCAUUGAAUCCACACUAAAGGCAAUUGCUGUCCCCUGCAAAGAUGCAAGCUACAAAUAUUCACAGAACUACAAAAGAUCCUCCUCCCCUGCAGCAACCUCUGAAGGUUUCACACUGACUGAAGUCAUGCAACGUUCACACCAUGUCCAACCAGCACCCGUACGGUGGGAGUGUAAGACAUACUGUGUACUUGUUCAGCUGCUGCAGCCUGGACAGAGACACCAACAUCACCUUGCAGACCAACAGGAGGAGAAGAAGGCAGCAGCUGAAGACCCUGAAGUGGAUGACAGAAAACAAGUGUUACUAAGCUGUUAAUUAGAUAAAAGACCACCACCAUCUAACUGCUGUAAACAGUGUUGGUUUCCUGUUGUUUAAGUGAAAAUACUUUGUGUUUCUCUACUAUCUGUAAUGUAGUCAUGGACACAUUUUCCAAGGACUAACAUGUCUCACCUGUGAGAACAUUCAACUGCUUAUGAUUCAACUAUUUAAUAAAUAAUUGUAUCACAGGCAGUUACAUGAUCACAAAGAUGCUUAGUAGACAUGUUCAUCUUUGGAAAAUGUGCUCAUAGCUACAUUAACCCUAACACUAACAAGCUCUAACAAGUGUUUCCUUAUGGUCAAAUGUCUGUCAUUAUCUUUGCUGUGAUUUGUUGUCUAGAAUAAAAUCAUUAAAAGUGUAUUUUGAAACUGAUGCUACAGAAAUCAUUUUAUUUCAAGAAAUAUGCUUUAUACUUAUCUUUUAAAAU